AGUUAAGGUUUUAGGGCCCGACCUCCCGUCACGGGGGCGAUCAAUUUGGUCGAACUCGAUGGCUCGUCUUUCUCUCUUUCGCUCUCUCCUCCCGCUCUUGUGGUUCUUCUCUGUAACCCUUCCGUAUAAAGCUCCAGAUACUUUUACCAGACCAAGCCUUAGUUGCAAACCAUGGGUUCCGAUGCUGAUAUGGAGGACUACGGGUUCGAGUACUCCGACGAGGAGCCUGAGGAGCAGGAUGUUGACAUCGAGAACCAAUACUACAACUCUAAAGGUUUAGUGGAAACUGAUCCUGAGGAAGCACUUGCUGGUUUUGCUGAAGUAGUGUGCAUGGAACCUGAGAAAGCUGAGUGCAACCACUUACCAGGAGAUUGUUGUGCUUUGUUUGAUAAGAUGCAUGAUAUAUGUAGAAUACAUGAGGAUACAGCUUAUCUGGAAAGACUAGUUAUGCAGAGAUCCAGUAAAGAUUGCCAUAUUGGUUCAUGGAUUAGUUCCGGUCUUCACACUGGUGCUAAGAUUUCUCUGUUAGUGCUUCUACGUAAGGAUUUCGUUGAGCAACUGUAUCAGAAGGCUCUUACCAUAAAGUCUGCAAUACCCCAUCCAAGAAUCAUGGGAAUAAUUCAUGAAUGUGGCGGGAAAAUGCACAUGGCUGAGAGACAAUGGGCAGAAGCUGCCACUGAUUUCUUUGAAGAGAUGAAGCUGGAAAUCAGCGUUGCAUCCAAUGUCUUAAAUAUUUGGUUCUUGCCAACAUGUUGAUGGAAUCUGAAGUGAAUCCAUUUGAUGGGCAAGAGGCAAAGCCAUACAAGAAUGAUCCUGAGGUCUUGCCAAUGGCAAAUCUGAUAGCAGCAUAUCAGCGAAAUGAGAUUUUGGAGUUUGAGAAAAUCUUGAAGAGUAACAGACAGACAAUCAUGGAUGAUCCUUUCAUCCGAAACUAUAUUGAGGAUCUUUUGAAGAAUAUCAGAACCCAAGUUCUCUUCAAGCUCAUAAAGCUCUACACUCGAAUCAGGAUUCCAUUCAUCUCAAAGGAACUCAAUGUGCCAGAGAAAGAUGUAGAGCAGCUCUUGGUCUCCUUGAUUCUGGACAACUGUAUCCAAGGUCACAUUGAUCAAGUCAACAGACUAUUAGAGCGGAGUGACAGGUCAAAGGGACUGAAGAAAUAUACUGCCAUAGACAAGUGGAAUACUCAGCUUAGAUUACUGUACCAAACAAUUUCCAAUAGAGUAAGUUAGAGGCUGUAGAGGGUACAUUCUUCGAGAGAGACAUUUGCUGUUGCUGGGUAUCCUUUUACAUGUGAAAGAGUAUGCUCUACUUAUGUACGUAUGGAGUUGGUGAAGAUUAUCAUUUUCUUCAGAAGAGCUUUUAGGGCUAUAUGUUCAUUCGUAGUGUAGAUAACUGGUGCAAAGAAUGUGGUUUUUUUGGCCACACUAGGAGAGGAAUCUAUAUAUUCUGGUGGGUUGUUCUUUCUCA